GGGCGCCAAACUUGGUGGUUGACGCCAAGCAUCGUCGCUCGGGUCCUCUUCCUCCCCCGAGAGGACAGCUUCUCGUCGAUCGGAGACCUGGGAGGCUACCAUCUUGGUCUAGAGUUACUAUGUGAUAACUGCGGUGAGAGGCGACGGCGGGUGACCCGUCCGGCGGCGUCGAUCUCGCCUUUCUUUUCGCGAGUCCCGCCUGGCCGGCUGCAUCUCCCGAUGUGCAUAUCUAUAUAUUCUCAUGGGGGCUAGGCUGCUAGAUGUCCUUAUCUUCGUCGGUUUCGGACUUACAGGUGGGACACCAACGGCAAGCGACAAGACAUUCCUGUUAGACGAUCAUACAUCAGAUUAGUAAGUCGAGUCCUCCUAGGAUAGUGUACUGUACUUAUGUUAUUUCAACAAGAUGAACAAACAAACCACUACGCACAAGUAUAAAUAUGCAUGCACAUGGAUGCCUAGACAGAGAUCAAAUGCGCUUACAUGAAGCAUGCGAUCCAAAUACUUCCUUCUAAGCAGGGUUAAAACCAUCCAUCUUUUUAUCAUGCAUUGGACAUAUCCCUACCUUUGUUUUAACAUAAUUUUUUGUGACAGUGCCAUGCAUCUUUUGACUUGUCAACGCUGUUUUCAGGUCAAACUGGCAAAACUGUCAACACUCGGUUUUGAGAACCAGGCCAAGAACCAUCUUGCCCGCCUCGCAAGUCGGAAGGCAUGGCGCCUAUGUUGACGCGUGCCUGACCUUCGAAUAUUUUCCCAGGCCACUUAACUUGAACUUGAGAUCGUCAUACUCCUUGACUUGGCUAACAUCGUCUUGAUCAUCACCACAGCAUGUUUUGUUGACGCCAAGCCUCCAGCUUCCCCAUCGCCACCGCAUGGUACUUUGCAACCAAGUUUUGCUCGCGUUUGACCACUCGUGGUAGUUAAUCACCAUGUCGCAUUCAUACAUUUACAUAUCAUAGGCCAAGAGACAUGUUUUUCCAACACGUACAUUUUCUAUAACUAAAGCAUAGUCAUACACACACACACACAACAUGUUAUGCACACCAAAGCUUUAAACCUCUUGACACAUCUGUCGAUCAUUCGUCACGAGUAGAGUAGACCGAGUCACAUUUUUUCUUGAUCUCUCAUAGUCAUGCAGAAACAACACAGGCGCUUGGAAGAAAGCAAAUAAAAGGGCCACGUGUUCUAGUGGUUACAUGGCCACCGUGCGAUGGUUUCAUUAGAAAUGCGCAUGCGAAAUGUAGGAUUAUUGUAGUAGGAUUUGUGGGAAAUCAGAGCAACGUCGUACGUCUGUCCAAUUUGGUCGCUCUCCGAUAUGUGUUGAAUCUCUCCAUCCGGCCGGGGUAAUGAAUAAAAUCAUUGUUGCACAGUACUGCAGCCGUGCCGUGGGCUGGACCGGGCCGCAGGAAAGCGCAAGGAGGCUGCGGCACUUGGCGCGGCUACAGCUCGACCUCGACGUGACGUAGCUGCCUGCCCACUGCCAACGUCGUCAGAGGUCAGAGACCCGUAUGGGUUUGAAAGAGCGCUCGAUCGAGUAGCUACACGGUCUCCAAGGUUGGAGUUGAUGCUCCGAUCCCUUUCCCGAUGAUACGGCGUGACUGUAUCGGAGGGCGUGUGGGAUACGAACCAGCAUAGAUGGGUCGUAUACUAGCAUAAAUACGCGCUCAGUUCAGGCGGUGCGGCAAAGGAAACCUCAACCUACUAGCUGCUGAAGAAGAUCAGAUACCGGCCGGCCAUGGAUCGCCCUCUGGAGCGAGCUACCCCGGCGACUGUCAUGGUCGCCUUGCUGUUCCUGCUAGCUUGCCACGGUUCGUGAGGCGUCCUUGUUGCUCUCGUGCCAUUUCCAUUCAUGAUGCUAAUAAUCUCUCUCGAUCUGUUGGUUGCAUAUGAUGGCUAACCAAACAAAGCUACUUGCAUUGCUGACCAACGGUCACCAGCUGGAGUCAUUUCCGGCGGCGAGCCUCCACAUUCCUCGGCGGCGGUGAAGCAUCGUGAGAUGGUUCAAGCCCGCAAGAUACUCAACAGCAAUGCGACCAGUAAGAACGAACUCUGCUGCCGAUCUAGUUCGCCAAACAUCAGGGUAGUGUUCCACUCACCACUGCUUCGUGUGCGCAUGUGUGUUGAUCGAUCGACCAGCCGGAGGCGACCCGCGCGGCGUUGCUGCUGCCACGGUACACUACACGGCGGAGCGGCCGGCCACCACGGCGCUGGGUGACUGCUCGGAGGAGGUCGUGCAGGUGUCCCAGGUCGAUGCAGGCCUGCUGCCGAACGGCAUCCCCUCCUACAGCGUGACCAUCACCAACACGUGCCUUGACUGCACGGUGCGCGACGUCCACGUCUCCUGCGGCGAGUUCGCCUCCACGGAGCUCGUCGACCCUAGCAGCUUUCAACGCCUUGCGUACGGGGACUGCCUCGUCAGGGACGGCGGGCCUAUUGGCCCCGGCGAGACGGUCUCAUUCGAGUACUCCAAUUCCUUGAUUUACAGCAUGGAUGUAGCGUCGGUCUCAUGUGGCGAUAUUUAGGCUCUGCGUUGUGGUGUGUUAGUGUGUGUAUGUCUUGGCAACACCAUCUUUCUUAGUUUGGUGUUGGCAAAUAAAAGUAUCAGUGUAGUCUAUUAGUUCUUUUCAGUAACGCCUUUGGGUUUGUUAAGAACUUGGAUGAUGAACUGUGUGAGAUUGGUUUUGAUUACCCUUAGCGAAGUGACUCAAAUCACAAGCUCAACUAGUUUCCUCGCGAGCGUUUCCCAAGUGGCUUGGUUAUUUGUUAUUUGAACUCUGGAGGUCUUGUUUCAUGACAAAUUUAUAGUUGACCUUUAAUUUACAUUUCACAUACAAAUAAAGUACAUGACGGUUGAUGUGCAAUCAACGGAAUCAUGUAGGUAAGAAUUCGAAUGAGUAGGUGAACCCAUGCAUGCGUAUCCUGCUGUUAGCGGUUUUGCUUGACUACAACUGUACUUCUAAGUGAUGGUUAAUAUUGGUGUUAAAAUUUAUUAGCCUAGGCUUUGGUAAUUUGCAUUGGGGUUAAUUGCGGUGCAUGUUGCCCAAGUUACAAGGAGAUCGAGUAAAAUGCAUGUCAUUUGUGCGACGUGAGUAAUCGACGUCUUAUACUUUAUGCACUUUUACGUUAGACACAGCUAACGCAUGAACAAAAAGUGAAAAAAAUGCAUAUGCUCAAGUGAAAAUUCAGAUCUAGGAAACCAAAGAAAACCAAUGUCAACUUGCAAAUUAGCCCCUAGAUCUACGAUUUAAUUGCGCAAAGGUCCCUGGAUUUCUCCCAUAACCCCCUAUCUUUUCUCUUUCUUCUCCACUCAACUCCCUCACGCACAGAUAGACAGCCACGGUACAGAACCGAACCAAAGCCGGCCAUGGCCUUGGGCCGAAGGUGGGGGAAAGAGAAGAGGCAGCUUACGGAGGGAGAGGGGCGGCACAUGGGGUGAAGGAGGGGCUCACCGUGGACGGGGUCGCCCGGCGAGGAAGGGAGCCCGGGAAGCGGCAAAACGGAUGCGCUACGUCGAGGGGAAGGUGUGGCUGCAAGGAAUCGAGCCGGGAGCUCACCACGGCGAUGAAUUUGGCCGGUGAAGAUGGGGAUUUUGGAGCUUUGGGGGUGCUGUAAUGGUGGGAGGAGGUGGUGCGGUUUGGGGGAGGCCGGUGCUGCUUAUAUAGCCGGGGCGAGGCGAGGAUAAGAACGGGUGGAGUGACAUACCCCUGAGCGCAGCCAUUGGAGGGGAGGGGAGCUCCGGUGGGCACCGACCAUGUGGCGGCCAUGGCGGGUGCACGGAAGCUCGCCCAAUGGAGCGCGAGGAGUGGCGUGGGGAGGAAGGGAGAGCACAUGGGAGAUGCUUGAGGGACCUAUGGGUGGAGAGGGGCCUGCUGGUGCGGUCAGAGGUGCCCAAUGGCCAUCCUCGGCAUCUGUGCUGACCAAGGGGAGGCGUGCAGGUGGCGUGAGGUGUUGGAGGAAGGAGAUGACGAGUGGGCCCGCGACAUUUUUCACUAUUAAAUGUUUCCCUUGUUUGACAUAGCUAUAGGUGUUCAAAAAUUACCCAAAAAUACUCGUUGAAAAGAUAAAAUCAUCAAGAAUCCAACACAAUAGGAAUAAACUCCAAAGCUAUUAUGGUUUGCACACAAUUGACAAAACAAAAUAGCUAAAAUUGAACUUUAAAUGAAUUUUUAACCUAAGCAAACAUCUCUAAAAAAUUUUGUAAAAAUAUUUUAAAAUCAUUAAAUGGUGUCUAAUAUUUGAAUAAAAUAUUUGGGGUACAGUUGUGUGGCAAAUUUGGGAUUUAUUCACAAUUUGAAUUUUUUAACAAUAAACAGUAAUUGUGUAAAUUUAACAAUGCAUAACUUCUACUCGAUUUUUAACAUAUUAUCCUCAAAAUUAGAAAGAGUGCUAAUAACAAAAGUUAUUUUUUUAAAAAAUUUCUACAACUUUAUAUUGACCAAAAUUUGAGUUGUUAUAUGAAAUUUGAUUUUCCACUGUUACCCCUUUUUAGUGCUUUGGAGGCAUUUUCCAACACUUAGGGAAUUUGAAUGACUUUUGAGUUUGGCACUUUGCAAUUUGGUUUGUUUCUAGUUUUUCCCUUAAUUUCUCUUAUUUUUACCCUUUGACUCUCGUCUCGCCCCUUUUUGAAUUUGCAUUCCCCUUCCGGGGUGUUUUCAACACUCGGACAAUUAAAGCGCAUCAGAAUUUGACAAGUGGCAAUUUUGAGUUUAGGGGUGAUUUGUUUGAUUAAACACUUUUGAUUAUUAUUGCUUGGCUUGGUAAUACUAGGGAUGUUACAAUGGCAUUCGCCAGAGCAAUUUCCCCAUCAAGAUCAAAGGUUGAGCUCGAGUUGGUGGAGGAAAGAGGCCUUUGCUAGGCAUGGUGGUGAGCCGAGGUUUCUGGUGUGGAUCUUGGUGGACUUGAUGGAGGUGAGAGUGGAGUGACUUCUCUCAUUGAAAGAUUGGGAUUCAACCCCAACGGGUUCACAUCAGUUUGAUUCUUCACUUUAUCAACUUCUAUCCCUAUCUCUGAGAUGAUAUGCCCUAGCACUAUUCCUUGCUUCACUAUAAUGUGGUACUUCUCCCAGUUUAGGACUAGAUCAACUUCUCCAUAUCAUUUAAGAACUUUACCGAGAUUCUCCAAGCAAUUAUAGAAACUAGUGCCAUGUACUGAGAAGUCAUCCAUAAAUACCUCCAUAAUAUUUUUAAUAAAAUCCGAAAAUAUAGCCAUCAUGCAGUGUCGAAAUGAUGUGGGCACAUUGCAUAGACCAAAAGGCAUUAUUCUAUAAUUGAUCACCUUUCUUCAGUGUGGAAUUAGCUCAUUCUUCUCAUUUGUCACAACAGUCAAUCCUCCUUUCUUCACCACGCAAUGCACUGGGCUCACCCAUUCACUGUGUGGUACUGGAUAGAUUAUUCCAGCAUUAAGCAAUUUGAUCACCUCCUUCUUUACUACAUUGCGCAUAGCAUGGCUCAAUUUUCUCUGGUUCUCCACAACUGGUUUGUAUUGAUCUUCUAAUUGUAUUCGAUGAGUGCAGAAGGCUAGAUUGAUUCCUUCCAAGUCUUUGAUCGUAUAUCCAAUCACUUUCUGAUGUUUUCUUAAUAAAUUCAGUAGCUUCUCAAUUUCUUCCUUGCUCAACUUGUCGCUAACAAUGACUAGAUACGUCUUGUUGUUCCCCAAAUAUUCAUAUUUUAAUCCCUUGGGUAAUGGCUUCUGCUCAACAUCUGGUGCUUCGGGCUCUUGCUGCUCUAAAUCUCUAAUGUCUUCAAAUUUUUCUGCUUUCGAAGUUUCAUAUUGCAGUGAUAAUGCUUCGGUUACUUCUCCCAGCUCAUCAUCUUCACCAUCCUCAUUGUUUUCCAUCGCUCUUAGUAGAGGAUCCCUGAAAUUUUCAGCAAAGUAUACACUCUCUACUUCCUCAUUAUCAGAAAGUAGAGGCAGGAUUUGUCGAGAAGCACGCAGAAAAUUACAAGUGUAUUUAGCACCAUUAAGAUUAAUCAUUACUUUGCCCUUCCCAGCAUCAAGCACAACAUUAACCAACUUAAGAAAAGGUCUACCAAGGAUAAUAUCAUCAUGUUCAUCAUGGCAAGCAUCAAUAACAAAGAAGUCGGCUGGUAUAACUUUUCCCGAGAUAGUAAUAUCUAGAUCUCUAAGCACACCUAGAGGUUUGGUUGUUCUACCAUCUCCCAUGAUUAAAUUUAUCGGGGUUAGAGCAAACUGUAAAGUUUUAUUAUAAAGCUCAUGAUAAAGUUUUGAAGACAUAACACUUACAUGUGCUCCAAUAUCGCAAAACACUUUGUAGACAAUCUCUCCAUUAAUCAUGCAAUUGGUAUGUGGUGUAGGCAAAGAUUCUCCUUCAUCUUGAUCAGCCCCAAUCGCAUAUACUUUUCCCAGUCUAGCAAAUGGUGAUGCCUCCGGCUUCACUCCCAUGAUUCUCUUCACCUUGGUGACAUAGUCUGGAACUACUUCUUCUUCAUUACAGAGUUUUUGAAUUAUCUCUCCAGUUGUUUCCUUGCAAGGACAUAGCUAGUGUUUCUCUCUGGUGGAAAAUCUGUCUCAACAGCUCUAGCCGACCCCUUUUGAUUUGGAUAUGGUCUAUGCUUAUCAAAUAUUUCACUGAAGUCAAUAGAAAUCCAAUCCAUUUGUUCAAACUCCGCAGGGGCUUCGCAUUCGCUAGGUUUCGAGCUUCAGAUGUUUCUUGUUUGUCAUAUUUGAUGCACCGAGUAGCUGUUGUUGUACGAGAAAUCGGCUAUUGAUAGACACUUGUCCCAGUUCUUGUCAUAAUGAAUGACACAGGCUCGUAGCAUAUCCUCUAAAAUAUGAUUUACCCUCUCUGUUUGCCCAUCUGUCUGAGGGUGGCAUGUUGAACUAUGGAUUAGCUUGGUGCCAAGUGUAGCGUGCAGCUGCUCCUAAAAACGUGCUACAAAUUGGGUGCCUCGAUCGGAGAUGAUCAUCUUGGGCACUCCAUGUAAGGAAACGAUACGGUCUAGGUAUAGCUCCGCAUAUGUCUGAGUAGGUUGUUCUUACUGGGAGAAAGUGGGCCAUCUUAGUGAGUCUAUCCACUAUGAGCCAUAUGGAAUCGUGCCUCUGGGAAGUGUUGGGUAACCCAACGAUGAAGUCUAUGAUGAUAUCUUCCCAUUUCCAUGAGGGUAUGGGUAGUAGUUGAAGUGUACAUGCUACCUUCAAGUGGCUUGCUUUCACUCUCUGACAUGUAUCACAUUCUAACACAUAUUUAGCAAUCUCUGGCUUCAUCCCAGACCACCAGAAAUUUUGUCGGAGGUCGUGGUACAUUUUGGUGCUGCCAGGGUGAAUAGAGAAUUUAGAAAGGUGUGCUUCAUCAAAAAUCUGCUUCCUAAGAUCGGGAUUGGCGGGAACAACCAAUUGGUCCUCGUACCAUACUACUCCCUUCCAAUCCUAUCGUAAAUCCUUGUAUUCCUCUGUUGACGCCAGAUUUUGACACGUAUUUUGAAUCGGCGUCAGAGAAGGAAAAGAUUGGCCAAUGUGGCGGAUUAAAAGCUGCAGUUGGGAAUCGACCGAUUGGUGGUACAGUGUAUCGGCCGAUUGGCAAAUGAAGUUGAUAAAGGUCGGCCAAUUGGAAGGUUGGGGCAGCUGGGCCAACAUGGGCUUAAGGUCAUCUUGGAGGAGGGUCCAUAUGCUCUCAAGUUUGGCACGAACGUCAUUAGGGAUUGAACUCAGUGCGACUUGGCGUGAGGCAACCUCUUCAUCAUCAGAAAGUGCAACCGCAAAGGAAAAGAGACUAUUGUUGGGGGUGUCUUGCUCCUGAGAAAGAAUAAAAAAUAAAAAUACAGAUUAGCUGAUGGUAAUAGGAAAUCGGCCGAUUUGGGUGUCAAGUUUUCUUACCUCUUUAAAGAGGAUUUCUUCUGCUUGCGCCGGUGGGAGUGCUACCCUCGUCUUGGGAACUGACGCGGCUGGUUCAUCGGAGGAAGAGGAUUCAACGAUUAUCGGUGCCGUGCUCAGGCCAGGUUCCCUGAAAAGAUCAAGAAAUGGAUCUCUAUAAGUAUGAGGCAAAUGAUUAAGUCUAAUCAUAUAUAAUGACUGCCAUACAUCGGUGAGUCGCCCGGCCGAUGGUUGUUGGAAAGGUACAAUCGAUGUGCCCAGGGUAGCCUGCAUCAAAAUCGGUUAGCUUUUGGUUAAGUGUUAAGAAAAUUGAGUUAAACAAAGACUCUCUACCUCAGUGGGAGGUAUUGCUGGCGUCCCGGUCUCUACCUGGAAUGUAGCCGAUUGCUGCGAAGAUUGCACUGGGGCGAUGUGCACAGCCUAACAGAAAGAAGAAGUUAAUACCGACAGAAUACUUAAAAGAACGCGCGGUAUACGAAGGUACCUGAACGGCUUCUACCAACAAUGAUGCAGCAGCUGCUCCAGCCUUUAUAGCAGCCUGGGGGUCGACUUCUUCGAUAAUCGGCAGAGUCGACGCAGCUAGAGAUUCAGCCGAUGCCGCCGCCGACUGAUCGGCCGAUUCUACACGGGCGCGCACCCGACGGCUCGUCUUCUUUGAGGAGGUUAUCUUUAGCUUCUGCUUCGAUCGGUCGGUGGUGAUGUCUUCGACGGUUGGGGCAUGAUAGCCGAUAAGUGGGAAUAAUGUAUAUGGAUAGCGAUUUUCUAUCGGCCUACCACUUCGGCUGCGUGUUGGAGGAAGUUGACUUUUGAACUGUAAAAGGAAAUAAAAGUUAGAAAUAAAUUCAUAAUAUAAAAGGAAUGACAUUGAAAUCGGCUGAAAAGGGAGCAGUACCACUACGUUCGGGUCGAUGUUGUCAGGAUCUAGAUCAUUGCAAUAUGUUGCGGGGGAUACACAGAAGAGGUGCUGCUUCCACUCUCCACACCAUAAUUUAAAUUGCUGGACAGCAAAAGGAGCCACCACCCAAUUGUUCAGAUCAAUGGUACUGGAAUCUGGCACUAAACUGCACAGCCGAUUAUAAUCAAGUCACUUGUGAGCUCAUCCCGGAAUUUUGCGCGGCCGGCAAAGUAAACCUGAAUCGACAACUGACCAAUGCCGAAUUGCUGUGUUGUAACUGAUGGGUUAUAAAACUCAUAAGUUGGGGAGUCCUUCCCGGAGAAGAAGUUCGCUGGUAAGAUCCCUGGUUUGAUCAAGGCGUCUAUGAGAUCAUUGUCAAAGGAAUUGGACGUCGAGUCAUAGAAAAAGGGAAGCUCACAGAGUGGUUCUGUUCUUUGGUAUGGAUACCAACUUGUGGUUUCUUCAUUAAAGCCGUUGUAGAAGCAUUAGAAAUACUCAGUUGUUUGGGUGGUGGUGAACGAGCUGCCAGGAAAGGCCGAUGCCGCCUCACAAGAAGAGGUACACCAAUGAAGCGUUCUCACAUAAGUAGAGACUAAAUGUGAUAGAAAUAUCAGUCCCAGGAGGCUGAUAACACAUUUAUUCGACAGAUAAUUCAGUUACCGUACAACUCCCGAGGCAGUGGGCAUGAGAGCCACGCAGCGAUAAGAAGUAAAUAAACAACAACGGCUAACCAAGCGACUGCCAAAAGAUAGCACUCGGGACUACACAACAGCAGCAACAUCAUCUUGGAAAGGCCAACACCACAGACAACGUUGGAUGCGGACACAACCUCUACUCAAGGUCUUCGGCGAUGAAAUCCGGGUCUUUCUCUGUAGUAAUGAAGCAAGGGUGAGUACGAACGUACUCAACAAGUCCAACCCCAUCCACGGAGGGGGAUACAAGCAAGUAUAUGCACAGGAUAUAUCAAGGAUAGGCUAGGGUUUAUUUGCAAUAAAGCUAGAUUUUCAACACAUGCAUGGGCUCGUUUUCAAACAAGUUUUCGUAAAGCUUUUCUUUAGUAACCGAAAGAUUAAGUGGGGUUGAUCCUACCCAAUAGGAUCCAAGUUUUAUCGCUAUGGACUCCCCGUCCGCCAUAGCUCACGGCACAACUGCCGGACACUUCCAAAAUCCAAUACACACACACACGUGACAUCCAUGCCCAAGUGCUAGUUAUGUGACCAAGUCAUAACUCGUCCAAUGCCGUGGACACGGCUACCCGGAUAGGUUUUAACUCUGCAGAGGUUGUACACUUUUCCCACAAGUAGGGUACCGCAGCACGAUCACCUUAGUGCCGGUGCGGAUCCUAACAAAGCCAUUACCCACCUUAGUUGAGACUAGCUAGUCCUCACGGAAGCACGCAAGGGGUUCACGGCUCAUCCAUGAGACCGUAACCGGGACCUAAGUCACCAAGAUCUUACUCCUUUUCCAUGGGCUCCCGUUGCUCACCAGCACCCCUGAAGACUAACAGUUUAGCUAGUGGGAUUUAUGCUAAGCCGUUGCCCAUACAACGGUCGAGUGGUUGCACGAUGGUGGAAUUAGGCAAGAUGACACAUCAACUCGGUCCUUAACCAUGACAAGAUGGAUAGCUCCCGACAUUGCUCAACCACUAAGGUACGAGCACAAUAUUCAGGCAUUUCACACAAGAAACACCCAUCCAUCUCAUCUACACAUUCCUUGCCUUUGAACCUGAAAACCCAUUUUCCCAUUUGAACGCACUCACGCAUUUAUUCUCCAAAUAAACCAUUGUAAUUAUGAUUGAAGUUGAGCAACGAAAUCCUAAGCAUGCUAGCAGUAGUUAUCAUCUAAACAGAGCAAAUCAUAUUUAGAGAUAACAUAGGACAACAAGGAAUGUUCAUAACAAUGAAGGGGUGGCUAUCCAACCAUGUCUUGCAAUAAAACAAUAUGCAUUUUAUAAAACAUGCCAAUAGGUUGUGUUUGAAAAACUAGGUGUUAAGUAUGCAUCAAAGGGUGAGAUUAGACUUGCCGUCUUCAAAGCCUUCCGGGAGUUUCGGCUCGUGCUGUUGGUCCUCAGGCUCGGGCUCGUGGUCAAACUCCUCCUCGGGCUCCUCCUCGGGUAAUCCGCAAUCUACGGCACACACAAACGGACACACAAAUAAAUAAAAGAAAAUCGGUUUUUAUCCGCUGAGCUCCGAACAGAAAAUGCAGACGGAAAAUAGGUAGAAGAAAUAUUUUUGGGAAAUUUGGAUAUGGAUCGGCGGAAGUAUUCUAGAGGAUGACGUGGUAAAAUUUGGGGUUAAAUGGAGGAAGUUUGGCGCAUGAAAUGACGAGUUAAACAUGAAUUAGGGGCUUAAAAAGGAGGGUUAGGACUAUUUUGCGAUAAACCAGGGACCUUUUCAUAAUUAUUUCUGGAGGUGGAGGGGUUUAUCCGAAAGAAGUGCUCGAGAGGGGUGGAAGGGCCUAUUUGUAAUUUGGUGAAAGUUGGGGGUUAGAUCGGAAAGGAGGGGCUUCUUCUUCCUUUCUUUCUGCACCGUAUCAGAGGAGGUGGAGGGGAGGGGCGGCCGGCCCGGGGGCGGCGGCCUGGGCUCGCCGGCGGCGAGGGGAAGCGGCGGGGGAGGGUAGAGGAGGCCGUGGAGGCCCCAUUUUGCUCCUUACUCUGGGGAUUUGGGAAGGGAGGGAGGUGUGGCCGGCAGGAACUUCGGGCAGCGGCGCACGGGCGGUGGCGGCGACGGCGGAAGUUGGCGCAGGUGGCUGGGAGAUGGAGUGCGGUGGGUUGUGACGGUGGUGGCUGGGGCGUUGCCCCUUUUUAUAGGCUGGCGGUAGGGGACCGGGCGGCCGGCGGGAUGGCUUGGCGGCACGGCACCGGUGGCGUGCCGGGGCGGGGAGGUAGUGGCCGACGGCGGUCGGCGUGGCGCGGGGUCGAAGGCGGGGAGGUAGGUGCCGGCGGCGGCGACGUGGAGGUGGGCGUUGGAAGGGGCCGGCGGGCGGCGCGCCGGCGCGCUGGGGCCGGCGAGGUCGGGCCGGAAAGGGGCCGGCGCCGGACGCAGGCACGGGGCCCGAGUCGCGCGGGGGCCAGGGCGGCCAGGCGCCAGAGCAGCCGAGGCGGCCGGGGGAGUAAAAGCCCCGGGGGGGGGUCUGGGUAGGGGGUGGCGUUGGGGUUGACCGGGGGGAGUGGCGCCAUGAAGAAGAAGGAAGGAGGAGAGAGAGGAAGGAAGGAAGAAGAAAGAAGAAGAAGAAAGGAAAAAGGAAAAAGAAAAAGAAAAGGGGAGGGGAAAAGGAGAAAGAAAAAGAGGGGGACCGGCGGCGGACAAUACGGGCAUGGAUAAAAUGAUGGAGGUCGGCUUGGAUGCCGGGACGACAAAAUCGCCGGGAAGAUUUUUGAUUUCCGGGAGCUCAGCGGUAGAAAGAUUUUAAAAACGAUUUUUAACGGGUGAUUUUAGGUUGGUGAUUUUGCGGAUGUUACAACCAACGACGGACUGUAGGAUCUUCCUCUGAUUCAAUGUUUGGGAAUGUUUUGGUCUAUAUCUGCUGUUGGAAGACCUUGCUGAUAUACAAGUUGAGCCAGAGGGUAAUGAACCACCAGGGACCACCUGGAUUACCAAUUGGCUCUCCGUUUGACAAUUUAACAGCAAUCUGGUGCAUCAUGUGGUAGGCCGAUCCUAAUAGGUGUUUCCCUAGAGGGACGAUGGAUCCUCUUGCCAGGGCUUCGGCCAGAGCUUGUGUGUUAGAAGAAGGGCCGACUGCUCUGCCACAAAAAAGGUGCUUCUCUAGCCACAUCAUUAAGAAGGCUGCAUAUUCUCUCUCUAAAAUCGUCCUGGUCCUCAUGUUUUUAUUGAUAUACCCCUUCCACCCGCUGAUUCCUUUCAUCUCGAGCCGAUGGGUUGGCUUGAUCAGAUAAUUAAAAGGGGUAUCAGGGGAAAAAAUGUCGAGACCAGUCAGCAUCAAAACAUCUGCCAGAGUCGGGGUCAUAGGUCCGUGCCCAAAGAGAAACGCAUUGAGCGCAUCAGACCAGAAAUAAGAGGCUGCUAUCACCAGGGGUUCAUUUUUCUCCAUCUGGGAUAAGGAUAGAUUUAUGCAUUGGCCGAUUUUCAAUUUGUCCCAUUGAACUCUUUUGGAGUUGGCCAUUCUUUGAUACCAUUCUUUCCAGCCGGGAGUUUCGUUCGUCCAAGAUUUAAAUGUGCCUGCCCACUGGCUCAAAUCCAUAGGCGAUUGCUUAAAAGGGAUCCUAUGGGUUUCUAGGUUGAUCAAGUCAGUCUGGUCUGGGUUCCCCAUAGGGCCUAGACAGAUAAGACCAGGAGCGUCGGAAAGGCGGAUGGUGAUUUGCUGUCUGAUCGCUUAAAGAAGGUAAAAAAGGAAGAACUAAGAAUAGAUCUAAAAGAUGCAUGAGCGGUAAAAAGUAAAGAGGAAGGUUUCAGGUGUUUACCUCCGGAAUGAAGCUCAUGGUCGCCGUUGGAGUUGCUGGUGAAGCCUCCAUUGCUGAUGGAGUUGCCGAUGGAGCCGCCAUUGAGGGGAAAAUGAAGCGGGAUGUAGAUGAAAGGAAAGAUCACCGGAGAGGUGAGAUUGGAAGCCAAAGGGGUGCUGGGAGGAGGUAGAAGAUGAUUCGUCGGAGAGGAAGUUACUUGGCUCGUGGAGAAGAAGCGGCAGGGGACGCCAGUAUUUAAAGACGGUCCGAGAGAAGGGGUAAAGGUGGGAUUUUUACCGCGCCGUCUACACGAAUUUCGGAGGAGCGGUUGUCUCAGGCGCCCAGUUCGAAAAGAUUGCAAUCAUCAAGUAGAAGACCACGAAACAGAAGGAGAUUUUUGCCACGUUUGUUUCGGAGAAGAGAUUAAAAAAGAAUUUCGAAGCAAAAGUGAUGUUUUACUCCGAAACUGGGGGGCAUGUGUUGACGCUAGAUUUUGACACGUAUUUUGAAUCGGCGUCAGAGAAGGAAAAGAUUGGCCGAUGCGGCGGAUUAAAAGCUGCAGUUGUGAAUCGGCCGAUUGGUGCUACAGUGUAUCGGCCGAUUGGCAAAUGAAGUUGAUAAAGGUUGGCCGAUUGGAAGGUUGGGGCAGUUGGGCCAACAUGGGCUUAAGGUGGGCUAGAAAAGAACAUAAAGAGAGAUUGGCCCAUGGGGGUAUGAUAACCAACUCCGAUACAAGUUGUGUUUGUAAAUAUUUCUUUUCGUUUAAGAUUAGAGAUAGAUCCUAGUCGGUUAGGAAAUCAGUUGUAACAGGCUGUAAAUAGCCAUCUCUAGAGAUUUGUAAAACAACACAUCAAUCAAUACAAACAACUUAUUUUUUCAUCGUACUUUACUUUCAAGUCGGCGACUUCGCCAAUACAUCUUUUUCUUUCACGAGUUCGUACAAGUUGGUAGGGCUGCAUCGACACGAUCUCCGGCCGAUUCUGUAAGUUUCGUUUAUCGAGUAAUAUCUAAGCUUUAACUUUGGGCGCAUCGCUAUUUUUUCGUUUAGAUUUAUUCACAAGUUAUCGAUAUUAACUAGAAUUAUAACUUUUAUCUAUUAUUUUAGUUUUUAUCACCAGUUAUCCAGCUUGAGAUUUGAACUAUCGGCUUUAUUACUUUUCUUCUUAUUCAUCGUCAUAUAGCCGAUUAGAUCUAUUUCAAGUGUUGCAUUUGUGGCAUUGUUUAGCCUACUCUGGUAGUUUCUUUGCAAUCGCUACGCGAUUAUCGGCUGUUCUAUAGCCGGUCAUCCUCAUAGCAAAUCGGCCGAUUCGCUGAUACGCUUUUCGAGAUAGAUCGGAAUUUUAGCCGAUUGAAACCCCUGGAAUUUAAUACGUUUCUUUCCUUGUCAAUUAACAGGUCAGAUUGAUUGGCACGCCGCGCGAACCGCACCAGGGCGAUCACCCGAACAGGAGUUAAGCAGAUUCCCCCGGAUCGUGUGUCCGACGCUGAAGGUCAUCGGCCGAUUUUUAGCACCAACACCCUCAUCUUUCUGUGCCAACUUCUUCUUGAUGAGCUUUAUCUCCUUGUCCUCCAACCGUGCCAAGAUGAUUUGGUCAUCCAAGGUGGGUUCGAUAGCUAUGUGGGUCAAUGUGCCGUGAGGAAUAAUCUCUAAAUUCAGCUUCCUCAUUUCGGAACACAAAGUUUCUGCAAAAUUCUUUGCGGAUUUCUUUUCUAAAAAUUCCGGCAAGCUUAUGUUCUUGAUUUUCUUACUUUUGUGCUCCAAAUUGAUAACUAUCCCAUUCUCUGUAUAUGGCUGCUCCUUUGCUGAUCUUCUGUAACAAUUGAGCGGCCUCCCUGAGUGUUUUCUCCAUAAGAUCUGCUCCUACACAUAUUUGAACAAACUCCAGGUAUUUUUGAGUUAGUGAAAAAUAGAAUGUAUGCAACGACGCAUCACCUGAGAAUCCAAGCUUAGGUCCUUGUUCGAGUAGUCUGUUAAAUCUAUUUCAAGCUUGAUUUAUUCCUUCAUCUUUUCCUUGCACGAACAUGAUUACUUCCUUCUGAAGGUUUUGAACUUUGCUCAUCGAGAAAAAUCUCCCAUAGAACUUUGUCAUUAGUGUCUCCCAGUUCCCCUUCACAUCAAAAGAAAUUUCUGCAUACCAUCAUUUUGCUUCACCUGCAAGUAAAAACGGGAACAGAUUCCACCUGAACCAAGCUGGUGGAAUUCCUUCUUGUAGUAGUGUGUUGCAAAGUAUCAUGAAUCGCUCAAUGUGUCUGUAUGAAUUAUCAGUCUGCACUCCUUGGAAAGGAUUGCUCUUAGCCAUGUCGAUUAUUCAUUUAUUCAGAUCGUACUCCUUGGCUAAGGGCACUGAGUCGGAUUUCUGCAUGUUGAAUUGAUUGGUUAAUGGAAUUGCAUAGUUCCUCAGCGACUUUUCUCCUUCCUCCUUGUAGUGAUUGAUCAGAGCCAUCUAGACAACAUAAACAAAAUAAAGAUUUUCUUUUCUAGCGAAAAAUUUAGAUGUUAGAGGUUAACAAAAAUUAAUACAAAGUUAAACGUAGCAAAACUGACUUGUUCCUCGGCAACGGCACUAGAAAGGCUUGUUGACGGCAGUUAGCACGCCAAAUUGUGAAUCGCAAGCGCACAUAUCAGUUAUAGCUGUUCCCUUAGAGAUUCCCCUAAGAUUUAUCAAUUAAUAAGGAAUUUGCACGCUUAACUAAGCACUAAUCGAUGUAACCGAAAGCUCUUUGAAUAGGAUAUGAUUAUGCUAAUAAAAGAACUAAGCAAUAUAGAUUAGGAUGGAUAGAGAGUAAAGGUUGUGAACAAGAUAGGUUAAACGCUUAUCCUAAGGAUCUAGGAUCACUUGUAGAUACAAUCGCCAUGCAUGAACGAAUUAGAUCUAGGUGUUAUCGUGAGUGGUUGUGAACCAUACCCGACACUUUCCCACUCGCAAUACUGUCACUACAAAGGGGUGCUCAACUAUCGGAACAUAAGAACACGUCAAGAUGAUUAUUCUAGGUAAGCAAAUAAGCAACCCAAAGUAGCGCUGGCUAGCCUUUACAUGAAAGAGUAUCAUCAAGAUAUGAUUGAUAACAAAAAUAGAUCUCGACCAAAGGUUUGGUGAUUACAAAUCAAGGUCUCCAUACAACCCGGAGGACAAAAAAUAGAGGUAUUACACCAUGAUCUUACACAUGUUGACAAAUUUUGGGGUAAAGGACGCCCUCCAGAUCAACUGAACUGAAGAUGACGAUGAACGGGGGCAGGGGAGACCCAUGCCAAUCGGCCUGGACACCUCUGAGCCGAUCGGCUGGGGGUUUUCUCCUCCCCUGAUGCUCCUUUUCGAGUGGCUUCCUCUGGAUCCAAUCUUCUCUUCAUUUUUCCUACUUGUGGCGGUGGUGGAUGGUGUUUGCGUGAUGAUUUCCUCUUCUCUCCAACUCUCUUUCCUUGAAGUUCAUGAGAAGGUAUUUAUAGUCUCCAAUAGGCGGCGGCUCUAGGUCAAUGUCGGUGAAAAAAUCCUAAAGAUGAUGGUAGACUUCACUCUGAAGAAAUAGGAGGUCGACCGGACCCUAGAAUGGGCCAAGCCGAUCGGCCUAGAGGGUCCCAGGCCGAUCAGCCUGAGCCCUUCCUAGCCCUUCUGGUCCUUUCCUUCCUCGUGCUGGCUUCCCUCGAUGACCCAUGUCCAAGUAUCCAUUAAGCUCUUUAUAUAAACCUUCUUGGUUAUAUUGUAUUUCCUGCCAAAAUACAAUAUGCUCCAAAAUACAAAACAUAUGUAACAAUGGGGUUAUUUCAGGUGCCAAGUGGCGGAUUAGUAUAAAAAUAAGCAUGAAAAUACUGGUUAAAUAACACUAAAAGUGUAUCAAUAACGAGCGUCAAUAGUAGUAGUGAAUUUGUUUUAACUAUAGUUCCUGUAUGAGAACACUAGUUAUUCUUAUAUUUGUCAAAACAACUAAAAUGUUAUCGAUUGUUAAAUAUCCAUACAACCUACUAAGUGAUCGGUGACUUUCUCAUUAUUGAAGUCUGGGAGUUAGCGGGACAUAUAGUUAGAUGUGUCAUGACACACAUGUGAAGGGAGGGUAGAAUCACGAACUCACCUUCCAUGCGUCCCCUUUUAUCCCGGUUUAAAGUUGGCCCAGGACAAAAGGGAGCGCGUCACGGUAGGCUGGAAUGGAGCGAAGCUUUACUCCCGGUUGGUAUUUGCAACCGAGACUAAAGGCUCCCCUUUUUGUCACGGUUGUAAUGGCCAAAUUCCAGACGUCGGCGGCGCCUCCUUUUGUUCCGGUUGGAGCCUCCAACCAGGACAAAAGCGCCACCCUUUUGUCUCGAUUGAAGUUACCAACUGGGACAAAAAGUUUACUCUCGGUUGGUAAUUCCAACCGGGAUAAAAGGGUCGUGCUUUUGUCCUGGUUGGUGGAGCUUCCGUCAGCUUCGGCUCCGGCACUGUAGCUCCACUGUAGCACGGAGAAGCUAAAAAGUACCAGCUCCACCGAUUUCUCUUCGUUCCCAGUUUAUUUUGACCCUAGAUUAGCAAACGGCUCUUUCUAUGGUUCCUGAAAAAUAUCGCUACAAGGAUGCGUCAGGUGGAGUCGGAAAGAGCUCAGCCAAAGGGGAAGCUAAUAACCCGGACUUCCAGAAAAAGAGACGUCCAGCGAGCCCUAGUAUGAGGGGGUGUUUGGACACGAGGUACUAAACUUUAGGAAGGUCACAUCGGAUGUUCGAACGCUAAUUAGAAGGACUAAAUAUGAACUAAUUAUAAAACUAACUGCAGAACCCCUAUACUAAUUCACGAGACGAAUCUAUCAAGCUUAAUUGAUCCAUCAUUAGCAAAUGGUUAAUGUAGCACCACAUUGUCAAAUCAUGGACUAAUUAGGCUUAAUAGAUUCGUCUCGCGAAUUAGACUCUAUCUGUGCAAUUAAUUUUAUAAUUAGACUAUAUAUAAUACUUUUAAUUAGUAAAAUAUCCAAUGUGACAGGUAUUAAAGUUCAGGAGUUAGUUGCCAAACAGGACGUGAGUUGAUGCCUCCACGGGUAUGGGCCUGCUGGUCGUGUACGGUGUACCUGCACUUCACCUUGGAGUACACUUCUGCGCACGACCUUUGCUGCCGGAGCGAGGAGCCGAAAGAAAAGAAAGAAAGCAACACGCAAACCACGAUCCACGGAAAUAUUCGUAGUAGCAUCCGCCGAACAUUUGGGAAGAACGGCACCCACGGUCCACGGCUCCUCCGGUGGGUUCGGCGACGGACCCCCAACGCAAACAGUAGAGGAGGCGAGGCCGGGCAGGGCCCCCCACCAAAACCCAAGGGAACGGACGCGGACCAAAUGGAAAGUUCACGGUUUCCGCCAACACACGCCGAGUGGACGGGCCCCUUAUUCUAGACGCCGUCUCCUCCCAGCACCACCAGCAGACCGUGCGACCCGUUAAAAAACCGCGUCUCGUCUCGCGUCCUUGACCCAACGACCCGAGCCCUUUGCGUUGCGUGCGUCUAAAAAUAGCGCCCACAACGUACGCCCGGAUCGCGGCGGCAGGGGGCGGGCGCAUCGAGUAAUUUAUCAAGGCGGGCGCGCGGCGCGGGGGCAGAUCUCGCCGGCCGGGGCCAGCCAUGGGUGCUGCCGGCGCGAUCCGGCGGGCGGCGGCGUCGGCGGCCGACCGGGCGUGCGCGGGGGCGCGGGGCUUCCGCCGCGCGCUGGCCCGGUUCGCACCGCGGCCCUCGGCGUUCGUGCCCGCCGCCGACGCGGAGGCCACCGCGGUGCGCGCCGUGCGCAACCUCCGCACCUUCCGCUUCCACUACGCCUUCCUGCAGUGGGCGCUCCUGCUCGCCUCCCUCGUGCCGCGCCACCGGGCCUCGGUCGUCUUCCUCAUGGCGGCCUCCAAGGGCCUCCUCGUCUACGGGGGGCUCCUCAAGGCGUUCCCCAACUCGGCGCUGCUCCGGAGGCUCCUCGACAGCCGCCUCGUCGCCGCGGUCUUCGUCGCGCUCGUCCUCGCCGACAUCGUCGCCGCGGGCGCCGUCGCCAACCUCCUCGCCGCGCUCGCAGCGGGCGUCCCGAUCAUCGUCCUCCACGCGUCCUUCCGCGUCCGCGACGACCUCGAGGGGGCCUCCCCCGAAGCCGCGGCGGAGAACGGCAAGGAGGACGAGGCGUCGGCGGUCGUGGAGAAGAAGGAGGACGGCGACGUCGAGGCGGGGCCCACGCGGCGGUCCAUGGCGGCGGCACCAAGAUCGCCCAAAUGAGGAAUUACUAGUAACUAGUAAAAACCAUACAUUUUCAUAGAUUAAUUACGGCUCCCGUUGUCUUGGAAUAUAGGAACAAAUUCGUGGUCAAACCUGCCUUCCUGCAUGCUUCUUGAUUCAUACUGUGAGAGGAGCCUAGGAAUUUUUGGGGGAAAUUCAAUUAUUAGAAUGUAGUGGUAACUGUGACAGUGAAUGUGGAGGUUUAAGGAGACUUAUUCAUAUUCCUUAAGUACUGACAUGUCUUUGAUCAGACACACAUUUACAAGAAAUGGCUUACAGAAUGCCGAAUGCUUCAAGUUACAGUAUGCUCCACUGAUCGAUUCAGUUACUGCCACUUGUUCUAGUAUCUCCAUUUGAUCAAACAGAUUAUCGUGUUGGGGAGAAAUGGGCGCCACUGCUUCGGAACAAAGAGAUAAAAAGCCAUGGAUGAAUUCACGGCCGGUGUUGGCUGAUUCCCUAGAUCUUGGAGACGAGAGGAAGUGACGAAGAAGUGCAGCUCCCUCCAACCCAUGCGCGCCCACCUAACAAGCCAACCGACCUGCUGCUGGAAGUGCUCUUUUCACCGACAGCUGCCACGCCAAGCCACCGCAAAAGACAGGUGAAGCCUCGAAAGAGUAAGCAACUCGCCUUCCCCAGUUGUUCACUUCGCCGAUGUUGAUGCGUUGCCCGUCUCUCUGACUGGGUAGCCUUGCAGGUGAAGGGUUUGCAGUUCGCAAAAGAGACUACUCAUUCACACCGGAGAUUGAGCAAUCACAAGCUGAUCCAUCAGACGUCAUAUGCACAGGUCAAGAAAAGGCACACAUUCUGUAGAUCGUACUCAACAAUCUUAAAGCCCUUUCCCCCUCUUCUUAGGAGAGGAAGAAUCUCUCUUCAGAUAGGCACAGACAGUUAAUAUUGUUCUAGGGGAAACAUCAGCUUCCAUUUUAGAUGAUUAUGUCUGAUAGGACACUUGCAAGAAUGCGUCAGUUUCUAGGAUAAUGACUGAUGAAGGCUUUUGUAAGCAGUUAUCGGAUCUGCCUGUAAUGCAGAAGCUGUAUGUACAAUGUUCCCAGCACCAACUGCCAGUGGCCUCUUUCGUGCAAAAAAUCGCCAUCCUCCGGUCCUAGUAUCAGGAUAGAACGAGGCAUCAAAAUUGACCUUAUAGAUCUCUCUGCAGGUUGCGCUUUCCACAUGCUUCAGUUUAAAAGGAUGAAUCUGAAACUGAAAGGAACGGUAAAGGCAAACGAACCAAGCACACCGGCCUGCCCAUGAAGGCCCAUUACAGCGCCUCGUUUAACCCUCGACUUUUGGCCCACAAGGCCCAUCAGUCGAAUGAAUUCCCCGCCGAGACCGCCGGCAGCGCGACCGGCCUGCGAAUUCGGUGGGUCGUUGAGCCCACCCAGUUUCGCGAGCCCUAGGGUUAGCACGCACGACCGACGGCGUGGCUCACGCGUCGGUGUUGGGCCCUAUAUAUGAAGAGAGAGCCGUCGUCUAGGGUUUCCUCCACGGCGCCGACCAUACCAGACCAAUCCCCCAAACCGAGGAAGAACUAGCGCCCUCUCGCCGUCGCCGCAAUGGAGCACACCUUCAUCAUGAUCAAGCCCGACGGCGUCCAGAGGGGCCUCGUAAGCAACGCCUUUUCUUUGUUCUGUUCCAUUGAUUCGAUUCGAUUUGGUGAUGGGCGCUUCGGUGCUUGAAUUUGUACUUGGUAGGGUUAAGUUUAAUCAGUUUUUCUUCCCCUUUUUUCUCAGAUUGGUGAGAUCAUCAGCCGCUUUGAGAAGAAGGGCUUCUACCUCAAGGGUAAUCUAGCGCCCAUCCUUUCAUUUAAGCUUGUGUUAGAUUCUGGAAUCGCCGAUAAUUUCUUUAAGUGAAAAAUUUGAAGCUUAUAACUGAAGCAUGUGGCUUUGUACUGAAAUUUUACUGUUUGGGUACAAAUCAGUUGUUACUUUACCUAAAUCUGUGAUAAAAUUAGAUUGUUGGUUUAGCGUAAUUAAGUGUUUUUUAUCUGACGACUUUUUGUAAGUAAUGUUUGCCUGCUGAAUUGCUGUUCUGUUAUCUGAAUGCAGCCUUAAAGCUUGUGAACGUGGAGAGGUGCUUCGCUGAGAAGCACUACUCUGAUCUGUCCGCCAAGCCCUUCUUCCAGGGCCUUGUGGACUACAUCAUCUCUGGCCCUGUGGUUGCCAUGGUCUGGGAGGGCAAGAGCGUUGUCACAACUGGCCGCAAGAUCAUCGGUGCCACCAACCCCCUGGCUUCCGAGCCUGGCACCAUCCGUGGUGACUUUGCUGUCGACAUUGGCAGGUCAGAUCUCAAUCUGAUUUCUAUCUCUGGUUUCUAGUCACCAUUAUGCAUCUCUGUGGUGCAAUUAUUAUGCUUGGUUGCUUGUGCUGUUUGUAAGUGUUACAAAUACUCUCUCCGUUCCAAAUUGUAGGUUAUUCCAACUUUCUUGGAGCGUUAAACUAUUUUAUGUUUGACCAAAAUUAUAGAGAUGAUUACAAAGAUUUAUGGCACCGAAUAGAUAUACUAUGAAAAUAUAUUUAAUGAAGAAUCUAAUAGUACUUAUUUGGUAUAAUAAAUGGUAAUACUUUAUUGUAUAAAUUUGGUCAAACUUGAGAUGCUUUGACUUUCCAAGAAAGUUGGAAUGACUUACAAUUUGGAUUGGAAUGGAGAGAGUAGCUGCGAAAUUCAAUAGGAGCUGCCAUAUCAUGUAAAUAAUGCUCACUGUGAGAUCCUUCAUAGUACUGUAAUAUCCUGAAAUUGCUCUAUUUCAUAGUUAUGCUAAAAUGUUUUGCCAGACUUGUUAAGCUAUUGGAUUUGUCAAGAGAAACAGUUGUUUGUUUUGUGUAGUCAAGUUAGAUAAGAUCUGUAUAGAUUUGAGAAAGUAUUUAGCAUGGUGGGCUCCCAGAUUGUUAGUUCGGUUCUAGCUUGGGGCAUUGAAAUCAUAUCUGAGGCCGUCUCAUGAUUGCAACAGGUACUUCCAACUGUCUUAAUGUUUGCAUCAUGACAUGUUGCAUCCAACUCAUGGGGCCAUCUGGUAAAGCGAGUGGCAUCUGGUCUCCUGAGUUUACAUUUGUUCUGAAUCUGAUGUGGAGUCCACAAAAACUUUAGACAUCAAUAGAUUCAUGUGAUGUACUUUCUUGAUGAAAUGUGGGGGCUUGACUCUGAUAUCCAUUUAACCUUGUAUUAGCGAUGAAUAGUUGUGGGUACUGUAUCUGGUUCUGGUUAGUUGUAUGAGGGUGCAGGUAUGUCAAUGGAAAUGAAGAUAAUAUUUUUAAGGACAGAUUGCAUGCAUUGAUCCUUGUUUUAUUGACCAAUUUAUGCACUAUAUUAAUUGAAUUAGUCCUCAAGACCCAAUUAGCAAAUGUAGUGUCAGAUCUUUUGGAUUAUUAUGUUUGUUGUCUCUAAUUUACUAUGGUGCUGAAUUCUAAUAAAACGUCACUUUGUGCUAUCCAGGAAUGUCAUUCAUGGAAGUGACAGCAUUGAGAGUGCUACCAAGGAGAUUGCCCUGUGGUUCCCCGAGGGCCUCGCCAACUGGCAGAGCAGCCAGCACCCCUGGAUCUAUGAGAAGUAAACCGUGUCGCUUCACUCCAAACCUCAAGAGCCUGAGAGCGUGGCACCAGCCCUACUUUAGUAAUAUUUAGAGUUCCAGGAAAUUAUUAUCUGUAUCGUUGA
rnacentral:lncRNA from 1 species